rnacentral:rRNA from 1 species
CUGGAGUCUGAUCCUGGCUCAGGAGCAACGCUGGCGGCAUGCUUGACACAUGCAAGUCGAACGGGAAGUGGUGUAUCCAGUGGAGAACGAGUGAGUAAAUGCGUAAGAACCUGCCCUUGGGAGGGGAACAACAGCUGGAAACGGUUGCUAAUACCCCAUAGAAUUUAGUACCUCUACGAGGUAGGCUGAGGAGCAAAAGGGAGGAAUCCGCCCAAGGAGGGGCUCACGUCUGAUUAGCUAGUUGGUGAGGCAAUGGCUUACCAAGGCUCCGAUCAGUAGUUGGUCUGAGAGGAUGAUCAGCCACACUGGGACUGAGACACGGCCCAGACUCUUACGGGAGGCAGCAGUGAGGAAUUUUCCGCAAUGGGCGAAAGCCUGACGGAGCAAUGCCGCGUGAAGGAAGAAGGCUCACGGGUUGUAAACUUCUUUUCUCGGAGAAGAAUAAAUGACGGUAUCUGAGGAAUAAGCAUCGGCUAACUCUGUGCCAGCAGCCGCGGUA